rnacentral:rRNA from 1 species
AACGUAGACCUCAAGCGUUAUCCGGAUUUAUUGGGCGUAAAGAGCAUGUAGGGGGUUUUGCGCGUCUCCUGUUAAAGCCCACCGCCUAACGGUGGAAGUGCAGGAGAUACGGCGGAACUAGAGGAUGUUAGAGGUACCAGGAACGCACGGUGUAGGGGUGAAAUCCGUUGAUAUCGUGCGGAACACCAAAGGCGAAGGCAAGGUACUGGGACACUCCUGACCCUGAGAUGCGAAAGCGUGGGGAGCAAAAAGG